rnacentral:rRNA from 1 species
UACGGAGGGGGCGAGCGUUAUUCGGAAUUAUUGGGCGUAAAGGGCGCGUAGGCGGAUAUUUAAGUCAGGGGUGAAAUCCCAGAGCUCAACUCUGGAACUGCCUUUGAUACUGGGUAUCUCGAGUAUGGAAGAGGUGAGUGGAAUUCCGAGUGUAGAGGUGAAAUUCGUAGAUAUUCGGAGGAACACCAGUGGCGAAGGCGGCUCACUGGUCCAUUACUGACGCUGAGGUGCGAAAGCGUGGGGAGCAAACAGG